CUCUAACAGAAAAGAAGUCACACGAAGUGCACAUUUCUUCAUGAUUUAGAAGACUCAGAGAGAAGAGGAAUUUCACAAUAAUUUAUAUACAAUUCCUGGAAUAUCAAAGCGGUAAAAGCAAUCAAUUAGCACAUUAGGCCUAAAUCAUGUAACAAAAUCAGAUAAUGAAUAAAUUCAACUAUAAUAAUUAUUCUAAGCUUGAAUUCUUGAACCCUGAACCAGAGAUUCUAGGUUCGAGUCCCCAGCAGAGUCGCCAGAGCUGUCACACCUCCUUUUUACUACACCCCGCAAAGGAUAUAAAUACAAGGGAGUUUUUCCAAUUAAGGGACAAUCAAAACGGGAUCGUUUAUUUAUUAGAAAUCAGAGUCGUCACUUGGGAUAAUUUAUGGUGUCCUAAGUCACCGGUUUUAAAACCCGAAUCGAGGAAAAAUUGACUCUGUUUAACAGUCCGCGAACUAGAAAUUCGAGUAAGAAAUUCUGUUAACCCGGGAGAAGGUGUUAGGCAUUCCCAAAUUCCAUGGUUCUAGCACGGACACUUAACUAUCAUAUUCGGCUUAAUUUUCUAAUUUUAGAAACACGUUUUAACCUAUGAUUCCAUUUUAGCUUUAAACCACUUUUAUUCAUUUUAAGGAAGAUGUCAACGUCAUCUAAAAUACGUCUUUGGACCACGCUACAUAAAAUGCACUCGCAGUUCGAGACAUAAUUUAUUUAACGUUGUUAAGAUUUGGAUUUGGGUCACAUGAAAUGCACACCCAAGUUUAGGAAGGUAAUUUUAAAUUACGUAUCUAAAGCAAGCUACAAAGUUCAUAAUUUAAUUGUUUCUUCCUAAAACUAUUUUGAGAUUAUUGCGAAGUCAUCAAUUAUGAAAUUAUUUGGAGAAGAAGUGUACGAUUUUAGUUAUUAUUAAUAAAUUACUAAGUAUAACUCAAUAUUCUUUUUCAACAUUAAAAUUCAUUCCUACGGUAGCUAAGAGAACUUAAAGAAACGACUAAUACACUAACCUAACAAUAGUAUCUAACACGUAACCUAACCCAAUUUAUUAACAAGACUCUAUCCAAAAUAUUUUAAGUACCAUCCAUCAAACACAGCAGGCCAAUUUCCCAGCAGAAAAUGCCGAAAAUACUUGGUUCAUCAACUUAAUAGACCCGGUUACAAAUAUUAGUACUAAUAUCUCAUACAACUCAAUGUGACGGAUACAAAAAAAUAACAGGGUUAAAGCAACAUAAUUUACACCCAGGCAAUUGUAACAAACAAAAGGGUAUGACAAAUUUCACAUAACACAUUUGAACCAAAUUUAUGAUUUUACGUAAACCACUAAAGCUUAUGUUGGAAUGUUUUAACAAAAGAAGCCAUAAAAAUUGUCAACUCAGCAGCAACCAAACAAAAUCUUAUAAACAUAUAAGCUAAUAAAACUUGAAGAAAAGAAGAAGCUAAGAAUGAACUUCAAAGCAAUAAACUUACUUCAAUAUUGCUAAGGCAAAUCUUUCUAUUGAAUUUGAGCCAAAGCUACAACCAACUCGGAAAUUAGACAACUCGAGACCGGAACAUUUUUCAACGACCUCAGCGCCUCGAACGACAUCAGAACCACCUCUCUGACAGCCUCGAAGCUUGCCGAAAAACCCGAACCACGCCAAAACGACGAGGCUGAGCUCCGACUGAUUUUGAGGUUAUUUUUGGCUAUUUUUUGAGCUGGUUUUGCUUCUCUUUUUUCAGUUGGAUUUUUCUGAGCUUUGGGGCUGAGUUUCAAUGGAGUUUAGGGAGUCUUUGGGUAAUGAAAGGAUGAUGCUUCAUCAGGGUUAUUCGAGCUACAAGACACGGAAGAGCAUGAGUUUUGGGGCUGAGUUGCGGCUGUAUUUCUUUUUUUUGGAAUCGGGGAUGUCGUUCUCCUUUCCUUUUGUUUAGGAAUUCAAUGGGGCUACUAUUUUUGUUCUUUCCAAAUGAAAAGUCAGAAAUCCUUCUUCAAAUCAAGGGACAUGACUGCUGAAAAGGUCUCAGAAAUUAGGUCUAGGUUGUUUCUCUUGGAGAAGAAGACGACGUGGGGGUGGAAGGUCUCCCAAGGUCCGAUUUUUUGAGUUUC
rnacentral:lncRNA from 1 species